GGUUGACGCCCUUCGCGUCGCACAUGGCCUUGAUCUUCUUGAUCUUGUCAACCUGCGACUCGAUGAAGGACUGGCCGCCGAAGCCGGGGUUGACGGACAUGACGAGGAUGAGGUCGACGCAGUCGAGGAUGUACUCGAGGCAGUCGGGGUGGGUGCCGGGGUUGAGCACGACGCCCGCCUUGCAUCCGAGGUCCUUGAUCUGGUUGAUGGUGCGGUGGAGGUGGAUGGUGGACGCGCCCUCCGCGUGCACGGAGAUGAUGUCAGAGCCAGCCUUGGCGAAGUCCGCGACGCGGAGCUCGGGCUCGACGAUCAUGAGGUGGGUGUCGAGAACCUUGUCG
rnacentral:lncRNA from 1 species